GGAAGGGAAGGGAAGGGCUGUUUGGGAGCAGCAAAAAAACCCAUGUGCCUCUUGCAGCCAUCAUUUAAGGUUGAUGUUUUGCAUGCCAUACAGGAAGAUGGAUAGGCAUGUCAGAAAUAUAGCUGCCAAAACAAGGCUGUCAGAGGGAGGAGAGGCAUCACUGCCCUGCCUGCAGCCCAGCACAAGCUGCUCCUGUGCUUGAGAGAACAGCCACCACAAGGCACUUAUGAGAAGGGCAGAAGGAUAACUGGCACUCAGAUGUCCUGAAUAUGCAGAUUUAUAUUUGGAAAUUGUUGCAAAUAAAAAUUAUUUUAAAGCAAUCACAUUAAUCAGGGUCUUUUUGUGUAUUUGCUGCAAUAAGACACAAAUGAAAAGAGUCACGAAUGCAUGCUGAACGUAAAGGUUAAUCAAAGGCAGCUUCUUCUUUUGGCAGCUACCUCCUUUUGUUUUUUGCCAGGAAACAUUCACUUAAUUCUUUCUCUUUCUCUCUUUUUUAAACCAUGUACAUCCAACCCCUCAUUCUCAGCUUUUCUAAAAAUUAGAAUUAUGCCACACCCAUUUUGAGCACCUGGAGAAGAAAAUGGUGAACCUGUAACAUUCCAAAGCUACUUUGACAAAUGAUUUUUCAGCUUCAGUAGUUUUGACUGAGUCUUUUCUACAUGUAUUUGUUGUGGUUUAACCCCAGCCAGCAAAUAAACCCCACACAGCUGCUUGCUCACACUCUCCUGGUGGGCUGGGAGAGAGAAUCAGAAGAGAAGAGGUGAGAAAACUCAUGGGUUGAGAUAAUCAUCAGUUUAAUAAAUAAAGAAAAAGCCCCAUGUGCAAGCAAAAUAAAACGAGGCUUUCAGCAUAAUGGUUAAUUGGGAAGACAAAUACCAUUACUCUGAAUGUCCACCCCUUCCUUCUUUUUCCCAAAGAAUAUAGACUGAACGUGACUUCAUAUGGUAUGGAACAUCCCCUUGGCCAGCCUGGGCCAGCUGUCCCAGCUGUGCCCCUUCCCAGCUUUCCACGCACCUGGCACAGUGUGAAGAGCUGAAAAGUCCCCAACUACUUAACAACAUCUAAAACAUCAGUGUAUCACCAACACCAUUCCCUUUCCAAAUCCAAAACACAGCACUGCACCAGACACUAGGAAGAAAAUCAGCUCCAUCCCAGCUGAAACCAGGACAGUAUUAUAAAAGGUGCUGACUGAUCCUUUGUUGCAGGCAUUGAAGAUAAUCCCUUUAAAAAAAACACCUGAGCUAGCAGAAAACUGCUGAGCAGUCCCAGCCCAUCAAGAAGCUUUACAGGCCUGUUGAUACAUCUGUUCUGGGGACACUACCUCUUACACACUGCCCAGCUGGGAAGCAUUUGGAAACAUUUUAUAGACCAAUUCAGCAUUAAAUGUUGGUUGACUGCAGACUGCAGUGCAGGAUAGCAGCACCUAAUCCAGAUUUCAACAAGCUCGUGCCAAUUUAAGAUGCCGUUUACCUUGUAACAUUCACUUUGGGGAAACACAGAUAUUGACUGCACUGCCAUUCACCCAAGCAGGCCACCACACACAGCUUCAGUCACAGCUAAGACGUCACAGAAGCCCCCACGGCAGAAGUUGCGAGAGAAACAUCAGAUCAAAGCACCACAGUUCAGUCGGACAAUGUCCCUUUCUCUUGGAGCACUGGAGGUGGAAUGGAUCUGUUUGUGUGGGGCCAGGCUUGUAGGGCUUCCCUGACCCUCCUGCUGCGAUAAGUCAGUGUUGUGACAAAUCCAGGUGGUGAUGCUUGGUCCUUUGGUACAGCAGCAAUGCUGACCUUGGCUCCACUUGCUGCCAUAAGCAGCAGGCUUCCCAUAAGUCAUUAAUUUUUAACUUUCUUCAGUCUGUGCCAGGAACUGAAUUGCUGUAAAAUAACUCGUACUGGAUUUGAAAAAGAGGCUGAGAUAAACGAGGAAAUCACCUCUCCUCGUUGAAAGGGUUUUAGUCUCCAGGAUCUAGUAAGUACAGUAGGACUGUUUUCACAUCCCACCAUCUCUGUGUUUCCUUUCUAACUCCAGAUUAUUUUUUUCUCAUCACAGAGAGUGUCUAAUAAUUUUCUUCUUCAUAUUCUCAUGCCAUUUCCAAACUUAGCUCUCUGAAUUUUCAUCCUGUUUAAAUUUAUUUUUCUCUACUCUUUUCAUUACUAGAAAAGUAUAAGGGCUAAAUAGGGCGAAUUAAUGUUCAAUCCUACAAUGCUGUUGUACUCUCCUACUCAGCCUCUGGUUCUCAGCCUCAAGAUUCUCCCAUUAAAUCUUCCCUGUCAGACUUAAAAUAGAUGCAGUUAACAUGCCCCAAACUUCGCUAGAAAAAGGCAGAUUUCUGAGUUUCUUCUGGCAUGCUGAGGUAAAAACCUACUUCUGGCUCUGCUCUCAAGACAGAUCAAGUGACUAUGUCAUCUAUGUCAUCUGCUUUCAAGUUUUCACCUGAAAUGAAAGUGAGUUUCUGUCUUGGUUUCUCAUCUGUGUUUUGACUAUUUAUUUUAAAAAUUUUAAUUUAUCUAAUAGGUUUAUGUGGAAGGUACAGAUGAGGUCAAAAGCCUGCGCUGGGUAUUUUGUUAUGUCCAUUCAAACCACUAGAUUUUAUAUUUUUUUUUUUUCUUUAAAGGCAGUAGAUAUCGUUGAAGCACAUUACCUAUGUCUGCAUUAUAAGCAUUAUUCAUGCUGCCUCAAGCACUCAAGGGAACACACUGGUGACAUUAAGAUGACUGCAGCACAGCAGAAGGAGUGGCCACAGCUCAAGGAUACAGUCAAGGUCACCUACAGCACAUUAGAAGAGUUGGAGACAGGGCUGCAGAAUAUUGGCAUCUGUGUUUUGCUCCAGUAGAGCAGCCCAUGAGGAGCUGGUACGAGAUGACACCAGUCCAAGGGAUGUUUCAGAGCUGCAUCGCCAUCAGCAACCUCUCAUCCUGUCCUUGCUCUUCUGCUCCGACAGUCAGCACACCUCAGAGCCUCGCGGUGCAGAUGACAUUCAGCAAAGCCCUUUGAAAAUUAGUGUAGCCAUUUCCAUCCAGGAACCACGUGAGCAUUACUCAGGACAUACACUGAGGUACAUGAGGCAUUAGCUAUGAGAAUACAGAGACGGAAAUUUUCUUCAGAUAUUGGGGAAUUUUGCCUCCAUUUUUUUUCUGUUCAGUUCCUAUUGCAAUUUCUGUCAUCACCAGACAAAAGAGACCUUUCAUUCUGGAGGACAGCAUGGAGGAACUAGGAAUCCUUGUUCCUCAUUACAGCGUUAGACUUAGCACUCCCCAAGCUGUUGUGAAACACAGCAGAGGGGUCACAACAGGAAGUACAACCAUCAGCAGCAAGUAAAAGAAAGGCUUUCCUUCCUAUUCUAAGAUUUCAGAACUUCCUUAUACUCCAGCUUGAAAUCUUCUUAUUGCUGUUGCGCUUAUUUAAGGGAUUUUUUUAUUAUUAUUAUUUCUGCCUCGGCCGUGUUAAGGACCCACCACCUGCUCACUCCUGCGGCACCCCCAAUUUGUAUGAAAAACAGGCAGAAGGAAAAUAAAAGAUGCAGCUUAAUCAAUCCUCAGAGGAGACCUUGAAGCCUCUGGUCAAAGGUCUGCAGACUGCAUUAGGUACUCACUCCCCUGGCUCCAUCUGAGGUCCUGCCACAGCUCUGUGCCUCGUUCUUCCUUUUUUUCUAAUUAGACGUGGUGCUGCCAUUCAGGGUGGAAAGAAAUCUCAUAGGCUUUUGAACAUGUACCUGUUGACUCCCACACAUCAUUUUAAUCAGAAUUUGAUAGGGUUUGGAGGCAAUCUGUCUGUUCAGAGGCUGAACAAAUAAAAGCUGUCUGAGAAACUGCUUUCAAAACCCAGAAGAGGGAUUAUUUCCAACUUGGUGCAAAGCCUGGAUCAGAUCCUAUUCACUUUAUUUAUAUGAGCAAUAAGACCAUGAAUAGAACAACAUGACUGAGCUAGGUAAGAAGGAUCCAACCCACUAUAUUCAGAUCCCCAAAUAUCCUAGUCCUCAUUCAUGAAGAAUCCCAAGGACCUUUUGACCACAGUCAGUCAACACAAGCAGCAAGUUUAAGUAUAGGAUUAUCUGAGCAGUUAAGGUUAGGCACAUGCUUAAACACUUGCUGAGUUAAAGUUCAGAGCAGCUCUUGGGGUUUGGUUUUCCCUGUUCUCAUCUAUGGACACAGAGGAAAGUCUUUGUGAAGACGUGGCUGCUUCUAGCUUUCACACAGAUUGAUAUGGUACAGUCCAAAAUUUUUUUGUCAGCUGGGGAGAUUACUGUGUGUGGGAACUUCUCCGGCUGCACAAACAGAACAAAAAGCAGUCACCCCCACUAGCAGUAUUUCUCUCCUCUCCUUUAAGGCUGACUUAUGCAAAUUAUUAUACAAAUCCCAAGAAGAUAGGUGAGAAGGCAGGUUCCCGGGUAUAUCCUGGCCAAAUAACACUGCUGAGGGCAGCAAAAGUGAUGGCUGCAGCUCCUGUCCAGGGCUGUAGGAAGGAGAGGGAGCUCAGCAGCACUGGCAGCAUUCACGUUUGAUGCCAGAGCAGCAUGCCCACCUUGACUCACACAUAGGCUGCUCAGUACCCAGCUUUGGCAGGCAGUGCAGCAUUGCUCGAUCAUCUUGGACAUCUGUAGGUGCAGCAUUUCUGUGCUCAUUUGGAGAAAAAGCAUGGGAGAAACAUAAUGUUUGAGCCAGGCUGAAGCAGACAUCCUUUUUACUUUAUCCUUAGCACUCUGAGGAAAAUAAUACUUGAGUCCACACCACAGACAGCUGUCAGGUUGCAGGCAUCCUCCCUGUCCCCACCAUGUACUCCCACAGUGCACAGCUUUUGUUCCAGGGUCCCAUAACCGCUCCAGUGGGAACAGCCCUCAGGGCCUCCCAUUGCAAAGCAACCUUUGCAGCUCCAGGAUCAUCCAUCUGUCUGUCAGGGCCCAGGGAACCUUGAUUUUUGCUUUACCUGGCUCCACAGGCAGGAUGCAAAAUGCUACAAGUUAAACAGCAGUGGGAUAUAGGGUAAAGGUGUGUACUACAGUCUCUCAGGGUUACCCGACAGCUAUUAUUAGCCCUGAGCUGUUGAUCCAGAGGCUGUUUCUUUGUCUCCAUAAGUCAGGUAAAGACUGCAAAACAAAGCUCCCAGAGGAGUAAGAGGUGAUGGACCAACUCAUCGCUCUUCAUCAGGGGACAUGAGAAAACUGUGAUCCAGCAGGGUCAGGCUCCUUCAGCCUCCAUCCGUCCUGGGCAAAUAGACAGUGGUGCCAGUUUGCCAGGAAGUGCUCAGCAAAGGAAGGCAGCAAUAGGAAUUUAAAAUUGUGGUUUUUUACAUCACCCAGUAUAAUAAUGACCAAAGCCCAAGGAUUCAACUGACAAAAUCAAACCCAUAAUAUUGCAUACGUUCCCUGUUUAGUUAGUCUGUUGCCUCAGAGUUUGUAGCCUUUGUAUUACAUGUUGCAGACACUACACACACCCACACAUCUGAAUCUAAAAAGAGAUGUUCACUUUGCAAACAGCUGUUCUGCCUGAAAAUGGCACUGGCUUGGCUGCCUGUCCCUGCCCCAAAGCGAAGAUCACUCCCUGUGCUCCACAGCCUAUGUAGAAAGAGGGUUCAUGUGAACUCGCUCUCAUCCUCUUCAGAAAAAAUGCACUGGGUUAGUUCACACUGCUCAGCAGGAUGUUGAUUUACAGAAUAGGUAAUGCAGUGAAAAUUAGACUAUUUGAAAAUGUUGCACAUCAGACAUUUGGAGUCCUCAAACCCUCUUACAAAAUUUGAAAUUUAUCAAUCAGAAAUUCUCUGUACUAUCGCUAAAUGAUUUAGAAGAUCUUAUUAAAAUCUCACUGUGAAGUUAAAAUGGUGCUGUACACAAACAGCUGCAUUUUUUCAAAGUUACUCCCAGACUUGACUCUAGUUUUUCAUAUUAUCUCUGCUUGUGUCUACAGUUAUUAAAGUUAUCAAGACUUCCUUCUCCCAGUAAAUUUGAAGGAACAUCAAGAGUCUAGAUUUAAGUACAGCACUGGAAAACAUCAGGCCAUUGACUUUCUCACGGUGUUCUUCACUAAUAUGCAGUUUAUUUGAAUGUACUACGUAAAACAAGUGUAGCAAACUUCACACAAAAUAGUAGCCCUACAAAAUGCAUCUGGACUAAAAAAUAAUGGAUCUUUCUUGAGAUAGGUUCUUGCCUUCAAAAUUUCUACUGAAUAGUAAGCUUUGUGGAUAAACUAUUUUUAUUGGAUAUAAGCAUCUGAAAUAGGAGAACUUUAAAGAAUAACAGGCACAAUUUGCACAUUUGGAAAAUGUAUACACUUAUCCACAGAAAUACAGACACUGCUUUCAGCAAGUCACUCCAAAAUACCCUUUCUUCCAGAUUUUUCUUCUUUUUUUUUUUUUUUUCUCUUGGCACUCACGAAUAUCUUUCAAUAUUCUUACAAGUUAAUCUGCUUGAUUCUGAUGAAAAAAUAAUCUUUUCCAUCUGAAAUUAAAUAGAAUGAAUUAAGCCCAAGCCACAUUGAUAUUAUCAUGUAAAUGAUGCUCAUGGAGUCAGCGUGCUGCUUAUUGUAAAUAGUUGAUGCAAUACAACAGAAUAUUUUGCAGGUUCAAAAAAGACAAAACUUUUAUUGAAAAAAUAUCAUUUUUAUUACAUAGGCACAUAUUGUACUGUAGUGCUGAGGGCAUUAAUUAAAAAUAUCUAUCAAGCAUUAUUUUUUUUCAUAUUUUUUGUAACCAAUAUUGCUUCCAUACAAGGGCACAUUUUAAAAGGGAGUCUGCAGUUGCUCACCACCAGCAAUUAUUUCUAAUAAUAUCUUUCAGCCACCUAGCCAUUCAGCUAGACGUAUGUAACAUAGGACACACCUCACCCAGGAAUGAACUAUGUUUUAAGGUCUUUUUUUUUUUCUUUAUGAAAUCUCCUGCCUAGAGACACACUGAAUGGAUUUUGAUCUCCUGAAAGAACAGGGAGGUAAAGAAACAGCAAGCAACGUGGUGAGUGAGCUGGUUAACAGGGUGAUCCAUAGCAACAGUUCCAGUCUCACCUCCUAAGGUACACUGAUUUGCAGUUCAUUUCUAUAAUCACAAACUCUUCAAGCUGGCAAUGACUCUCACCAUUCCCUUGUGUUUACAGUUAAAAAAAAAAAAAAAUAAUAGUUCGUUCCCAGGCUGUUAAUACAUAUUAUCUAGCCUCUCUCUAGUCUGUGUCUGAAGUGUAGAUGCCCCAAAAAGGGCUCACAGCUUGAGCGUUUCUCCUUCUAGUGAGAUUCAUUGCAUCAGCUGGCAAUCCCCAUGUGUGAACUCAUCUUAUCUCAUAAGCUACACAGGACUGGGCCAGUUCAGUUCUUGUGUGAUUAUCUUUGAGAAAACCCCAAGAGCACUAGAAAGUAUAAGUCAUUGUUAUGGGACCACCCUCUAUUUGAAUGAUUCAAUUACUUGCAGAUGAGCAGGCAGGCUGGAUCACUGAGGCUGCGCCUCACCUACUGCACCCUCACCCAGCUCAGCCUGGGGCUCCCCAGCCGCUGCUUCCACAAACCCCAAGCACAAGGUGUCCCAACCACAGUGCCUCUUCUGGAGUAGCAGCCACCUGGACCUCAGCCUUGUCUGAGGCUGAGUCCACCACCACCCUGUAGUCACAGUAAUGGGCAGGAGACAUGUAAUCCAGCCUGAUCUUGGGUCAUUGCCUUCCCCACAAGCCACAAAAGUCUUUUCAUCUUCCUGAUUCAAAUGCUAGGGCCAUCCUCCAGAUUUACAGAGAAAUGAGAAAUUGGGUAUCACCAUUCUGGGUGCCUGUGUUAACAAUGAGUUUAUAAAGUGCCAACUGAGAUUUUUCCCCUUCAUUUGUGCAAAGUUUGCAUUUUCCCUCUCCCAGUAGUUCCUCCUAAUCCGAUGGGGAAAAUCUGCUUAUGGCCCUAAUUAAUGUAAUUAAUUUAACCUUAAGCAAAACACCCAGGCAUGUCAGAGAAACUGUCAGCAGUGCCCAACCAACUUCUCAUCUCUAACUGUGGCCAGCCUCCCAGACUAAAGGCAAAGUAGAACCCCCAUCACACAUCUUCCUAAAACUGGUUACUCAUUAAGGAGGAUGUUGGCAGGUGAUGUUUCACAAGUUUGUUUUCUAAAUCCAGCACU